GACGAACGCUGGCGGCGCGCUUAACACAUGCAAGUCGAGCGAAGCGGCGGAAGGGUGAGUAACACGUGAGUAACCUGCCUUAGACAUUGGGAUAGCCUCGGGAAACCGGGAUUAAUACCAAAUGGUCUAAGAUGGACUCGCGUCCCAUUAGCUAGUUGGUGAGGUAACGGCCCACCAAGGCGACGAUGGGUAGCCGGCCUGAGAGGGUGAACGGCAAGAUUGGAACUGAGACCGGUCCAAACUCUGCGGGAGUCAGCAGUGGGGAAUAAUGCACAAGGGAGGAAACUCUGAUGCAGCGACGCCGCGUGAACGAAGAAGGCUUUCGAGUCGUAAAGUUCUUUUAUAUGGGAAGCGGUACCAGAAGAAGAAGCGCCGGCUAACUACGUGCCAGCAGCCGCGGUAAUAC
rnacentral:rRNA from 1 species